rnacentral:misc_RNA from 1 species
AAUGCGUUAAGUAAUGUGAAUUGCAGAAUUCAGUGAAUCAUCGAAUCUUUGAACGCACCUUGCGCUCCUUGGUAUUCCUUGGAGCAUGCCUGUUUGAGUAUCAUGAAAUCUUCAAAGUAAAUCUUUUGUUAACUCAAUUGGUUUCUACUUUGGUAUUGGAGGUCUUUGCAGCUUCACACCUGCUCCUCUUUGUUCAUUAGCUGGAUCUCAGUGUUAUGCUUGGUUCCACUCGGCGUGAUAAGUUAUCUAUCGCUGAGGACACUGUAAAAGGUGGCCAAGGUAAAUGCAGAUGAACCGCUUCUAAUAGUCCAUUGACUUGGACAAUACUUUUAUGAUCUGAUCUCAAAUCAGGUAGGACUACCCGCUGAACUUAAGC